ACUCCAGCCUGGGCGACAGAGCGAGACUCCAUCUCAAAAAUCAAGAAGAAUUGGAGGAGGAAAUAAAUAGAUAAAUGGCAAAGGUGACGAAGGACCAAAGAUCUGUGACUUGUGGAAAGAUGGCUCUGUGUUUGCUGCAGGUCUAGAAGAUGUUACAGAAUUUCAAGCGAGAGAGAGGAGGGCUGGCAUGAGGUCCUCCACUUCAGAAAAUAGGGAGGCAAUUGCUGUGGGAGAUGUGGUGUAACUGCUGGAAGGAAGACACUCCAUUCCUCUGAGCAACGAAGGCCACAUGGAGUCCUGGAUUUUAUGUGGCCUGGCAUCCACGGUGCACCACGUGCUGGCAGGUGACUCAGGACGGGGCAGUUGCCAUGGGAGGCCCGCCGCCUGCUGAAAGGAAGAUGGUCAAUUCUUUUGAGCCACAAAGGCCCUGCAGAGUCCUGGAGUCAGUGUGGCCUGGCUUCCUGGGUGCACCUUGUGCUGGUGGAUUGCUCAGGAUGGGACAGUUGCCAUGGGAGGUCCGCUGCCUGCUGUCAGGGAAGAUGGUCGAUGCUUCUGAGCAACAUAGGCCCACGUGGAUUCCGUGUGGCCUGGCAUCCACUGUGCACCCCACGCUGGCAGGUGGCUCAGGACGGAGCAGUUGCCUUGAGAUGCCCACUGCCUGCUGGCACAGCAGAUGGUCAAUUCUUCUGAGCAAUGGAGUCCCCACUGAGUCAUGGAGUCGGUGUGGCCUGGCAUCCACGGUGCACCCCGUGCUGGUGGAUGGCUCAGGACGCAGCAGUUUGUCAUGAGAGGUCUACCACUUGCCGGCAAAGAAGAUGGUCAAUUCUUCUGACCAACGGAGGCUGCCUUGAGUCCUUGAUUUGGUGUGGCCUGGCAUCUAUGGUGCACCCCAUGCUGGGGCAGUUGCCGUGGAAGGCCCGCAGCCUGCUGCAAGGAAGAUGGGUGAUGCUUACGAGCAACAAAGGCUCCACGGAGUCGUGAAGUCGGUGUGGCCUGGCAUCCACGGUGCACCCCGUGCUGGUGGAUGGCUCAGGACGGUGCAGUUUUCAUGGGAGGCGUGGCACCUGCUGGAAGGAAGAUAGUUGAUUUUCCUGAGUAAUGAAGGCCACGCAGAGUCCUGGUUUCGGUUAUCCACAGUGCACCCCGUGCUCGUGGGUGGCUCAGGACGCCAGAUUCUGGUCACAAAUAUGUGAAGCCGUAGACUAGCGGAUUUCAUAAGUACCACAGGAGUCUAGAUGACAUGGCCUUCCUGACCUGUGAACCUGUCUUUCUGAAGCACAUUCAUUUCUUCUGCACCUUCCCAGUGUCAUUGGCAUGGAAGGAAGGCCCUUGUCCAAGAAAGAUUGUCUUCGUCUUGUGUGAUCUUUGAGAUGCCAUGAGGACCCUGGAUACACAUGGUGUGGGUUCCUUUGGAGGCUUUUGGAUUUCUCCUGAAUGUGGCGUUGGUAUGAAAGGAAGGCCAGUGACCACAAGGGACGAUCUUGAUCUUGGGAGAUUUUUGGAGAUGGUGAAGUGCCUGUAAACAUGUGUGUCAUGGUCUCCUUCAGGCUGGUGGACACCUCAGGACGGUGGUGUUGGCAUGGAAGGAGGGCCUGUGUCUGCGAGGGAUGAUCAUCCUCUCAUGUGAUCCUUGGAGAUGCCAGGAAGCCCCUUGACACAUGUGGCAUGGACUCCUUCAGAGGCUUUUGGAUCCUUCGUGAAUGUGGCAUGGGCAUGCAAAGACAGACAGAGGCUGCAGGGAUGAACUUCAUCUUGGGAGGUCUCUGGAGAUGGCAGGGAACCCCUGGACACAUGUGGCAUGGGCUCCUUCGGGUGCUGGUGGAUCCCUUUAUGUGGUGGCCGUGAUGAAUUGGCCAGGCCCAUGUUGGUGAGGGACAAUCAUCAUCUCGUGCUAUUCUCAGAGAUGCCAGGAAGCUCCUGGACACACAUGGUGUAGGCUUCUUUGGAGGCUGUUGGAUCCCCCCUGAAUGUGGUGUGGGCAUGGAAGGAAGGCCAGUGGAGAUAAUGGAUGAUCUUGCUCUUAGAAGAUCACUGGAGGUGGCAGGGAGUCCUAGGACACAUGUGGCGUGGGCCCCUUCAGGUGCUGGUGGUGUUGGCAUGAAAGGAAAGGAGGUAUCUUCGAGGGACAAUCUUCGCCUUGUGCGAUCCUCGGAGAUGCCACGAGGGCUCUGGACACAUGUGGUGCGGGCUCCUUUGGAGGCUGUUGAAUCCCUUCUGAAUGUGGCGUUGGCAUAAAAGGCAGGCUUGUAUCAUGGGGAAUGUUGUCAUCUCGUAUGAUCCUUGGAAUGGCAGGAAGCCCCUGGACACA